GCUGUGCCCCUUUAGCGUAUAGCAACCUCGCAAACGUGUCCUUGCGCUCGCUGUCUUCUUCUUCGGCAAGCACGAAGGGGUGCUCAGCCUCAGUGCGGACUGCACUGUCAUGCGGUCAAUGUCUACCCGCUCGCGAGCUCUCAGAAUGAAGUGAAACGAUCGUAUGGCAGUGAUGGCCGGGAGCCUGCAGAUGGGGAAGUUCGGCCGCCGAUUUACAAGUCUUUCCAGUUGACACCACACUGGGCGACUUGCGUUCGAUGAUGAUGAAGCGAUGAUGAGGACGACACAACACACACACCCGAGCGGAGAAAGUCUCCGAUGAGGCCGGGAAUCGAACCCGGACCCCCUGGAUGGUAGUCAGACGCGAUGACGACACAGUUACAGGGCACGCAGAAUAUCAGGUGAGAUUCUUUGCGUCAGUCGGUUUACUCACGGUUCCUGAGUGUGUAUAUGCACCUUAAAGCACUCUUAAAUUUCAGUGAGACGAAGCGUGCUAAUGCGGUUCUUCUAGCACUUAGUGUCAUAGACCAUGAACUCCCAUAAUCGUUGUGCAAUAUCACGUGUACCGUACGAAUUGAAGUUAUCUCAGAGACUGAAUAGUACAAGAUUAUUCGUGAGUACGUCCAUGGCCUUUGAAGAUGACUGCACAAAAACUACAGGACUAACCAAAAAUAGAGACGUAUUAGUGGAUAGAGCAUCUAUUUAAGCCGGCUGCUGUGACCGAGCGGUUCCAGGCACUUCAAUCCGGAACCGCGUGGCUGCUGCGAUCGCAGAUUCGAAUCCUGCCUCGGGGAUGGAUGUGUGUAAUGUCGUUAGAGCCAUUUGAACCAUCUCUUCAAGUUAUUAACCCACAUAACAGAUGCUCAGUAUGAGCGCAGUCUUUGAUGCAGCAAACGUCAGUACGUUACUAAAGUCUCUGAUACAAAUUGUCUGGAAAGCCACGACAGCAGCCUGCGUUGAAAAUCUUUUCAUUGGGCUGCCUAAAUGCUGGUGCGAAUUGAUUCAGUGCAACAAUACGGGCCGGAUGAUUUUGCUAUAGUAAGUCCUGAGACUCAUUGCCCCUAGUGCAACUACGCCAUGGCGAGGAUCACGAAUCGAAACUUGCAGAGAUGCUCUAUCCACUGAUAUGUUUCAUUUUUUAUGAAAGCGCGGUGCGGUAGUUUUGUUACUGCUUUUAUAUUGUACAGUGACCAAGACGGUAAAACUAAAUAAAUUUGGGGAUGAUAGAGAAAGACUCUUUCCCAUGCAUCAUUCGCCACAUAAUUGUGCAGGAAGGAUAACGACAGUAUUGUACCUGCAGACCCUCUGCAGCAUUCAGCCCGGUAGCUUGUGAACUACAAAUGUAGAUGCAGUCUGAGCGCCAAGUUCAUUCUCAGUUAGUUACCGAAAAAAUCUGUAUGCCCUUUACUGUCCCGUAUUUUAGAUAUGGUCAAUAUGUCAAAGUAGAGAUAAGAUUGUAGUUACAUUUACAACGCAUACAUCAGAAAGUGAUACAGCAAAUCUGUCCCACGUGACCAUCGCGACAAAGGUAAUAGAGGAGACACUAUAUAAUUUUUGCUAAGGCGAUUAUAUCUGAAUCAACGCUCUUGAUUUCAAAACCUCAUCUCCGCGUGUUAUGGAGUGGAGGAUAAGUGGUAUUGUCGAUGAUGAUCUGUCUGGCGGCUGGGAGCGUUGAGCAGGCAGGUUCCACAGAACUACUGGAGAGGAGUAAGCUGUGCCCCAAAACCAUGUUUCAUGAAAUCCCUUCUCCCACCGUAAACAACAAGAAAAAUACAAUUACUGGAUUUUACACGUACUUGCCACUAUCAAGCAUCUCUCGGGAUUGCCUAUGCAAUUACAGCAUAUGUCUACGUUUGUCAAAAUUCUCAUUUUCAUUUAGUGUGCUUGACAUGGGUAGGGUAUAAUAUGGGUGUGAUAUAGCCAAGAAAAGUUUAGAGUUUUAGUCAUAAAAAAAUGUUCAAAUGUGUGUGAAAUCUUAUGGGACUUAACUGCUAAGGUCAUCAGUCCCUAAGCUUACAUACUACUUAACAUAAAAUAUCCUAAAGACAAACACACACACACCCAUGCCCGAGGGAGGACUCGAACCUCCGCCGGGACCAGUCACACAGUCCAUAACUGCAGCGCCUAAGACGGCUCGGCUAAUCCCGCGCGGCUUUUAGUCAUAGUCUCUUCCUUAAUAUAGAAGAAAUCGCAGUAUAUUCAGUUCUAUAUAGGGUGAUUCAGCUGCCCCUACUGGUGCGUUUUAUGCAGCCCACAACGCGUUCAAACACCAUGUGCAAGGCUUUACCAAGCUGUUCAAGCAACCAAGUUCAGUAACUUUCGUUGUUCGUAUGAUUGCUUGUCCUGGACAACGGCCUAAGAUAUUUCGUGUAAUAUUUCGGGUGACGUGGCACUUAGAAAAACUGAACAACUAAAUUAAUAAGUGUUGUUCACCCACAAUUAUUUGUAGCCGCCUCUUCAAGAAGAGAUACAGUUUAACGAGUCCUUCACAUUAUGUACAUUCUGUAACGGAAUUCGUCUUAAAUAAUCCAUCAUAGUUUGAGAACAGGAGUGAAACACACUGGUAGGCCUGCUCGCGCAGCAUAACGCGCAGCGCUCUGGCUUGCGAGACCGGGAGGUGACCCAGAUCCGGAUCGAAUUCUAGCAGCAGAGUAACCACCGUUGGACUCUUACAACAGCGAAUCUGAGUGUGGUUCUUAUGUAGUUUUCCACGCUCAUUUAAGCAAAUGCUGCGUUGUUUCCCAAUUUUGCCCUCGUACAAUACCAUACACAAACAGUUAAAAUAUGACAACCCACAAAACACAGUAUACGCGAUUCACAGACAAGUGGCGCAGGCAGCUUCCUACUUUUAGGUUAACCGAUGGCUAUGGCGACAGGAAUGGCAUCCGACCACAAAGUUAAAACAAAAUAAAAUUCAUGAUGCCGAAUCAUGAAUAAAAAACGGAUCCUGCACGAUAAUUUAAAUGUUAGGGAAAGAGUAAUGCCUACUGCUAUCGUGCUAUAAAAUCUUUAACCAUUUGCCCAACAACAUAAAAUUUCUUAACAGGCAGCGAAGCAAAUCUUUAAUCAAGCCUGAAACAGUUUCUUCGGGGCAACACCGUCUGUUCCAUAGAUUAAUUUUUAAUUUGGGACGGACGGCAUGUGUAGCUAAAAAAUCCAAUUUAAUUGCAUCACUAGUUACGUGAGAUGUGUUAGAGACUAGAAUGUCCACUCUUAUUAAAGUUAAGCCUAUGUACUAUUUACUAACUUAUCAAUGAGUCGUAUGUAGCCACACCUCCAAACGUAUCGUGUAUACGUAGCCUGGAAACUGACUCUUUCCACAUCGCUUGGAUAAAAAUCGUGUAAAUCAGGGUCCUCCACGCUACUGCUCUGUAGAGCAAAGAGCUUUCUCUCAUGCUCACUGCUAGAGAGUAGCGACAGGGAUCUUGUCGAAUGCGGUAUGCGGCGUGCAGCAAAUGUAAUUUGUCGGAGAUAGCCUUAUAAAUUAGUGCCAGCAGUUGCAAUUUAAUUUGCAAUAAACAAGUACUAACAGAAACACUGAUCAAACAUGGUCAGCCUUUAAUUGAUUAAAGUGAGCUUAAAUACAAAUAUAUUGUAACGUAAGGGAAACAACAGCAUGCAAAAAGGUGGCACGAAAUACGUGCAACUACGAACUAGAUGAGUUACCUAAUUACCUAAUUGAAAAUAACAAUAGUCAUCAAUGAGUUAAGAGCUACUACUCUCUGAGAACUUAAAUGCAACGAAAACUCACGAAAUCAGUAUAGAAUAGUUUUAUAUUAUUUUCUUCUCUAUUUCUUUGAUUUUCCUAGCGUAAGGACUGCAAUGUUGGGAAGCAGUUGUGGACCCAAUUCUCCCGCUGCUUUUCAAAUACUGUUUUCGAUUAAGUUGCCCUCCAAAAAAAACAAUUUUCAAUCGACACCUAUGGAAUGAAAUUUAUAGCUGACUCUCACAGCAGUCUCUUAGUGGAUAAUUUGCUUCCUGCAAAUAAUCGGGCGUAUUUUAUCAGAAUAUUUGAGUUACAAAAAUCGCAGUUAUUCUUUAAGCGAACUCAACUCGUCAUGUGGGCUCGCUAUAACAGCACGCAGAAUACAUCCCACGGUCAUGUGUCCAUUAAUAGCACCCUUUUGAUUGUAAUAAGGAUCGCCUCAAGUUUCAUACGCUGCUCGGCUAUUGGCAAUGUAUUUUUAAAUUAUUUUUUAGGGAUGCUGUGAUACUUUUUCUUUAUUUCAAGAACUGUUCUUAUGGAACGGGUACCACUUGCAAUCAUAAGCACAUAAAAAAACUGACAAAUUCUAGUAGAAUUAGCGCACUAGGGGUUCCGUACAAACUCAUUUACAUAAUUCAUCCAUCCUGGAAAUCGAGAAUCUCAACGAUUUUUGCCUGUCAUCGAUAUCGACACUGGAAAGAUAUUGGUCCUGGGAAUUCCCGUAUAUCAAAAUCUCUACAGUAGUUCCUCAGACUAACCCGGACAUACAGAGAGAAGCGAGCAGGGGACGUCAGUUUACAUAUGUAGAGAGAGAAAAUUUAACAAAACAUUUUUCAUGUGUUUAUGACUACAACUUACAUUUUAUGUUUGCACAUAGUUGGUCUAUUAUGCUCUUGACGGAUGAUGAAUUUAAUGUACGUUCAAAUGGCAAAAGAUAUUUUUUAUAUGAUGUAAUUGCAAUUCAAGAAGUUUCAGAAUUUUUUUCUUGCUUGUAUUGUGAAACCUACUUCUUAUCAAAUUUCGUGUUUCUAGGUCAACGUUUUGACUACUGAUUUUGCGAGCAUUACAAUAUAUGAUACAAAUAACCUAAUUUCCUGGUUGCUUUGACGUAGAAGCUUACAAUUUUUACACCGCCAAGGGAACAUGGGCCCUGAUAUGUGACGUAAAUUGGAACUUGAUACCCCAAAAUGUCCCAGAGAAAAACGGGUCUUAACAGACGGGCAGACAAACAGACAGAACAAAAACAUAUUUUUCGUGUUAAAUAAC